rnacentral:rRNA from 1 species
AACGAACGCUGGCGGCAGGCUUAACACAUGCAAGUCGAGCGCCCCGCAAGGGGAGCGGCAGACGGGUGAGUAACACGUGGGAACAUACCCAUCUCUGCGGAACAACUCCGGGAAACUGGAGCUAAUACCGCAUACGCCCCUAGGGGGAAAGGUUUAUCGGAGAUGGAUUGGCCCGCGUUGGAUUAGCUAGUUGGGGGGGUAAAGGCCUACCAAGGCGACGAUCCAUAGCUGGUCUGAGAGGAUGAUCAGCCACAUUGGGACUGAGACACGGCCCAAACUCCUACGGGAGGCAGCAGUGGGGAAUAUUGGACAAUGGGCGCAAGCCUGAUCCAGCCAUGCCGCGUGAGUGAUGAAGGCCUUAGGGUUGUAAAGCUCUUUCACCGAUGAAGAUAAUGACGGUAGACGGAGAAGAAGCCCCGGCUAACUUCGUGCCAGCCGCCGCGGUAA